CCCUUAGAUGUUCUGAACCGCACGCGUGUUACACUGAUGCAUUCAACGAGCUUUACCUUGGCCGAGAGGCCUGGGAAAUCUUUUUAGCAUGCAUCGUGAUAGGGAUUGAUUAUUGCAAUUAUUAAUCAUGAACGAGGAAUUCCUAGUAAACGCAUUUCAUCAAAAUGCAUUGAUUACGUCCCUGCCCUUUGUACACACCGCCCGUCGCACCUACCGAUUGAGUGGUCCGGUGAAGUCUCGAGAUUGUGGCAAUCUCCUUUAUUGGAGUUUGACUGCGAGAACCUGCCUAAACCUUAUCACUUAGAGGAAGGUGAAGUCGUAACA
rnacentral:rRNA from 1 species